rnacentral:misc_RNA from 1 species
AGCAGCCGCGGUAAUUCCAGCUCCAAUAGCGUAUAUUAAAGUUGUUGCAGUUAAAAAGCUCGUAGUUGAAUUUCGGGAUCAAUUAAUUGGUCGUGCCUCUGGUACGUACUGGUUUUAUUGGUUUCUCCCUUCUGACGAACCAUGAUGUCAUUAAUUUGGUGUCGUGGAGAAUCAGGACUGUUACUUUGAAAAAAUUAGAGUGUUUAAAGCAAGCUAACGCUUGAAUACAUUAGCAUGGAAUAAUGAAAUAGGACGUUUGAUCCUAUUUUGUUGGUUUCUAGGAUCGACGUAAUGAUUAAUAGGGAUAGUUGGGGGCAUUAGUAUUCAAUUGUCAGAGGUGAAAUUCUUGGAUUUAUUGAAGACUAACUACUGCGAAAGCAUUUGCCAAGGAUGUUUUCAUUAAUCAAGAACGAAAGUUAGGGGAUCGAAGACGAUCAGAUACCGUCGUAGUCUUAACCAUAAACUAUGCCGACUAGGGAUCGGAUGAUGUUAAUUUUUAAUGACUCAUUCGGCGCCU